AUGACAGGAGGGUUCAAACACGGGGCUGUCUGGCUGCAAACCUGUGUCCUUUCUAGAUUAUGCUUCUUGAGAUAUGCUCCUGGUGCCUUCUAUAGGAAAAUCCCAAGGAAAAAGGUAGCAGUUGCGACGGACCCAGCGCCUUGCCUUGAAGCCACAGGCAGGACAAGGCGUGUCACCCCAGCUCCCCACUGCCAUCCACACCAUCUGCGUUGUUGAAAUCAACCCGUGUAACCAAAACGUCUAUCGAGGAGGAGCUGGCCCCAGAGAGUGGGUGGCGGGCGCUCACCCGACUGAGAGGGAGAAGGAAGGGAGAGUGGACAGGAGAAAUCUCGGGGCAUUCCUGGAGGCUCAGGAUCUAUAUCACAGGUGAGGGGUCUCCUGCUGGGAGCUGGUGUCCCCCAGAAGGAGGAAGCUGGCCUGGCCCUGGGCUGAC
rnacentral:lncRNA from 1 species